AAUCAUUGAGAGAUAAAGAAAUGGAGACAGAGAGAGAGAGCCAGUUAGUUGUUAUGGAAAGAAAUAAUAGUUAGCAAGCAAUAGUUUAAUCUGUUCGCUUUAAGGUUGCUUCAUGGUAUUGACUAAAAGGGCUGAAAACACAAAGGCCUACAGUUUUUCCAUAGUUGAUUAUUCACAGCAGUCAAAGAAUAUGGUAAAGUAUAAAAACUCCCCUUAGUCAAUCAUCUCAGUAAGCCAGAAUGAAUCAAUUCAACAAGCAAAAUCUUUAAUACAACCAAAUUUUUUCACAAGAGUUUCUCCCUCAAUGCUCUUUUACUCUGCUGGCAGACGAUGUGAAUUCCUGAGUGUUAUAAUCAAAAAUAUGGAGAUACACAUUCAUCUUUUGAACUGUCCCCACCCUAUAAGUAGAAUUGUCUGGAAUUCAUGCAAGAUGCAAAAAGUGCAGGUAUGCAAGACAAACACACAGACGCUCCAUCAUACUUCCAGUUAAUGGGUAACAGGUGAUGAUGGAAGCUGAUCAUGCCAUUGGAAAGUCGUUAAAGUCUCGUCUUUAUGUGGAGAAAGUGAUAGGAGGCAUUUACAUGAGGCAACCAGGCAUGUUGAACACUACGCUUGAGUGAACUACAGUCUUAGGCACAGGUUGGCACACCCUCCUGAUCUAGUGGCGCCAAAUGCUAUAAACCACCUAAAAAUGGCAAUGGUGGAAAGUUUUCCCUAAAAAAAGGGGAAAGCUUAUAAAAACACUGAGCGAGGGAGAGAAAGAAGAGUGAAGGAUUAUUUUC